GAUGAACGCUGGCGGCGUGCCUAAUACAUGCAAGUCGAGCGAACAGAUGAGGAGCUUGCUCCUCUGACGUUAGCGGCGGACGGGUGAGUAACACGUGUAUAACCUACCUAUAAGACUGGGAUAACUUCGGGAAACCGGAGCUAAUACCGUAUAAUAUAUUGAACCGCAUGGUUCAAUAGUGAAAGACGGUUUUGCUGUCACUUAUAGAUGGAUCCGCGCCGCAUUAGCUAGUUGGUAAGGUAACGGCUUACCAAGGCAACGAUGCGUAGCCGACCUGUGAGGGUGAUCGGCCACACUGGAACGGAGACACGGACCAGACUCCUACGGGAGGCAGCAGUAGGGAAUCUUACGCAAUGGGCGAAAGCCUGACGGAGCAACGCCGCGUGAGUGAUGAAGGUCUUCGGAUCGUAAAACUCUGUUAUUAGGGAAGAACAAAUGUGUAAGUAACUAUGCACGUCUUGACGGUACCUAAUCAGAAAGCCACGGCUAACUACGUG
rnacentral:rRNA from 1 species